rnacentral:rRNA from 1 species
UACGUAGGUGGCAAGCGUUGUCCGGAUUUACUGGGCGUAAAGGGCGCGUAGGCGGUGCUCUAAGUCGGAUGUGAAAACUCUGGGCUCAACCCAGAGCCUGCAUCCGAAACUGGAGUGCUAGAGUUCUGGAGGGGGUAGCGGAAUUCCUGGUGUAGCGGUGGAAUGCGCAGAUAUCAGGAGGAACACCUGCGGCGAAGGCGGGUUGCUGGGCUGACACUGACGCUGAUGCGCGAAAGCUAGGGGAGCGAAUGGG